rnacentral:rRNA from 1 species
CCCCCCAGCAAGAACAUAAGUAUUGGGGGUAAUGCCUGCCCAGUGACACUGUUAAACGGCCGCGGUAUCCUAACCGUGCAAAGGUAGCGUAAUCACUUGUCUUUUAAAUAAAGACUAGAAUGAAUGGCCAAACGAGGCUCUACCUGUCUCUUACAAAUAAUCAGUGAAAUUGAUCUUCCCGUGCAAAAGCGGGGAUAACACUAUAAGACGAGAAGACCCUGUGGAACUUCAAAUAUAAAAUCAACUAUCACCAACACCCACCCACGGGCCUUAUACCAAAUAGCACCUGAUUUUUAUUUUCGGUUGGGGCGACCUCGGAACAAAACAAAACCUCCGAAAAAUAAAAAACCUUUAAACCUAGAACAACAGUUCAAAGUGCUUCCGGCAAAACGAUCCAAUACACUUGAUCAACGAACCAAGCUACCCCAGGGAUAACAGCGCAAUCCCAUCCUAGAGUCCCUAUCGACGAUGGGGUUUACGACCUCGAUGUUGGAUCAGGACAUCCUAAUGGUGUAGCCGCUAUUAAGGGUUCGUUUGUUCAACGAUU